UAGGUGCAGACUCGGGUUUGCCCAGACUCUGGACCUGGGCCGGCUGGCACUUGGGCGCCAUUCCCCACCCCGCGCGGACUUCGGAAUUAGCCAAAGACGCUCAGGAACCGCAGGCGGAGCGCGUUUCCACCGGGCGCGGAGCACCAGCCGAACGCCGAGGAUGCGUUCCCUGCCAGCCCUGGACGCGCCCCAGAACGAGCGACUGCUGACCCGGCACCCCGAGGCCCCCAGGGUCAGGGACGCGGCGGUGCCAGCACGCAGGAGCGCGGUGGAGAGGCUAGCGGCCGACCGCGCCAAGUACGUGCGGGGCCCGCCGGGAGCCGGCCCGGGCCGGUCUCCCGAGGGCAGCAACCCCGGGGCGAGCGAGGGGACCGCGGGCGAUCCUCGGCCUCCAGCUCGCGUCCCCGGUGCCGUGGCGCGCAGGGCCAUAGCUCGGAAGCCGCUGAGACCUGACUCCCUGGUCAUCUACCGGCAGAAAUGCGACUUCGUCCGAGGACAGGGCGCCGACAGCUCCAGGGGGGGCCUGGUGAAGAAGCUCUUCCAGGGGUCGGGCAAGGACAAGACGUCGGUGCCCCCGGAGACGUCCCGGGUGGGAGAGGAGGUCAGGGCCAGGCGCGAGGAGGCUGUCCUGACCAAGCCCGGCUCUACUGCGGCCUCCGCGGUCCCCGGCGUUCCCGCGCCCCCAGCGCGCGCAGCUAGCCCAGCGCCCUGUGGGACGCCCACCAGUGUCCCGGCUGUGUCCCGGGUCCCGGAGCUGCGAGGGACAAGGCGCGGGGGGCUGCAGCGAUCGCAGUCAGACCUCAGCUCCCGCUACUCUUCAUCCCUGGCCGAAUGUGACACGUUCUUCCAGUUCUGCGGCCUGGAGCCUGAGGUGGUGGAAGCUCUCGGUAGGGAGAAUUUCUCCGCGGGGUCGGACCGCGUCACACUCAAGGUCCGCAGCGUGAGCGUCGCCACCUCUGACAGCGGCUUCUCCCGGCACAGCGGCGGUGAAGAGGGGCUGCAGGAGGAAGAACUGACCGAGCAGGUGCCCAGCACCACGUCGGUCAUCGAGAGGAACGCCCGCAUCAUCAAGUGGCUGUACACCUGUAAGAAAGCCAAGGAGAAGACCGGCCAGGGGCUGCAGGGCCCAGCGUGACCGCUCGCGCUCUGCGGAGACUUGGACACUAGGUGUGCAUCCGGAAAGCCUGGGAGGGGUGUCUUGUGUGUGCGUGUCUGUGAGGGCUUGGUGGGAUGGAUCCAGUCCAAGGGACCCUACAUAAAGACACAGAGGCUCAUGCGUCCAAGGACCACUGCUAAGAGAGCAGAAGGGCCGCCAAUCCAGGUCCCCUGCAGGACCAGCACCCUUUCUUUUGAGUGUUUUGCUUCUAACUGCCUGGAAAUGUAAUUCUGAUAAGAAGAGAAGACAGAGUUACAAAAUGCUUAGAGAUGAGUUUGCACCCCUGCUAUUAUUUCCUGCGUUGAAAAUAGCCUGAGAGCUCUAGGGUCUGUGUGAAUUGACCUGUGGGCAUCCUGAGGUUGGAUCAGAGCUUACUGGUCCACCUGUAGCCCUAGAGUGGGACUGCCAAGCCCUCUCCAGCAGAACGGGAGGCUCUGCGCUCAUUCCUGGAGGCCUUCUGCAAACCUGGCAGAGAGGGAGAACUUCUUUACAGUUUGGCAUUCAUAUAGCUGCACAGGUCUCCAUGUGGCUAAAUUUUGUUUGAGUUGUCUCGAGAGCUUUCUAAGGAGAGUCUUAGUUCACAAGAAGGAGCAUCAGUUUGUUGAACUGGGCCUGGGCUUGGUUAUCAACUGGUGUUUUAGAACUCUGUAUGGCUGUGAUUCUAUAGUUUAUUUACCUCUUAUGAUCAUACAGGAGAUAAAUUUCUUCCCCUUGGACACCAGUGGCACAGGGUUGAUCUCAAGUUCUUUUUCACUGAGGAACUAAGGAAUGUUUAUCCUUAGUGAUCUCUACUCUUCCUUCCAAGAACAUGUGGUGAGGGCAUUUUGGGGGUAGUGAAGGGAGAAGAGAAGGUACCUUUUUGGGGUUCUCCUUAGGAACCAAGAAUUUAAACAUUGCACCAUUAUUUUUUCUCUUACCCUUCAGUGGCAACUUGCUAUAGAUUAAAACAAAAUUCAUGUGAUGGAAGUAUUUUUGUCUGCCCUUGAUAUAAAUCAAUCAGAGACAUAGUAUCAAUCUUCAGAGUGGUGAGGAGGCUGCUACAAGAUGUGAUUGUACACAGCUCACCUGUUUGAGGACUGAACAAAGGCCUAACUUCCUUGAGUAGCCAUGGCCUAAGCAUAGACUUAAAAAUUAACAAGGAGAAAUAGAUUGGAUUCAGAGGAAUCACAACUUAAGUUUUCCCAUACAAUUUAUUGAAUAUUAUUGUAUUUUUCACCAGCCUUAGAAUUAAAUAGUCAGCAUUUAAAUUAAAAAUAACAACACAUUAACUUGUACUUUUCACAAAUUGUCUUUUGAAACUGAGGUGAAUACAUUCCUCCCAAGCCAUCAGGAACGCCUUGGUGUCAAGGAGGAAAGUUGUGGGGACUGGCAUGGUUCCAGAGGGACAUGGUCUAGUAGACAGAGCACUAAAGUGGGGGGACUGGGAGGUGUCUACCAUUAGUAAUCACUCCUCCACCUUAGCCUCCCAUUGUCCAUAAAAUGAAGGCAGAUAGGCAAAUCGUUUCCAAACUCUAUUCUUUUUUAUUCUGUAUAGUUUAUCUGUAUAUCUGUGUUUUAUGAUUGGAACCUAGAAAAAGAAAACAGAAAACCAUUAUCUAUUGGAGUAUGUAAAAAGUAAACUUAAAAAUAAGUUCCCUUCAAGUUGCCAACUUUGUGCUGUAUUUUGUGCACAAAGGGUAGGUAGAAUUGUUGGUAUAAAUAUGCAUCUCGUGCAUAACGAGAUGAUGCACAAACAAAAUAAAAUAAAACCUGACAGCAUACAAAUCCAAACUCUCCCCUCUGACCCCUCCAGACCCAGAUGCACCCUCAUCUCCAGGCUCCAAUGUCAAAGCAGUGACCUGCAAAUUCCCGCUAGGAAGUAACCUUCUGAAGCCCCUUUUAGGUUUGAGCCUAUGAAAAAUGGAAGAAGUUGGGUUAGCUUGUGAGAACAUUCACUUUUAUGACCAAGAAAAGUAGUUGAGGCAAGAAGAAAAGUGACAGAAGGUUUAAGAAACUGCCAGUGUGAAUCUAUGCAGGAGAGCAGAGGUCUUCCCUCUCCCUUAAUCCCGUGGGUUCCAGUGGAAGACAGUGUCAUCUGCCUUCUGAGCUGUUAUGGUUUUGCUCAGAGAAGGGAGAUGGAUGUGACCCAAGAGUCUGCCUGCGGUUCUGUGUGUUGCCAUUCACCAGCACUGUAAAGAUUGGCCUCACAAAUUUGCUCCCCAAAACCAUCAUUCGCAUUCUUUGAAAUUCAUUGCAGGAGACCCAAAGGCUGGCUGCUUAUGUGGUCAUGGAGGAGGUGAGUUCCCCUGGGCUUUGUCCAGCUCAAUGGACUAUGCAAAGUCUGUGCAUGACCACAGGACCUCAACUCAGCACAUCCAGAUGGUGGUCUCUUCAGAGGAAGAGCCAGCAGAGAGAGGUCAGCACGGAGCAUGGCGGCCACUACCUCCCUUGUCGAGGGUCAUCUAGCAGCUUGAACAGAAAGGCAGCUGACCUGUCCUCACAGGCUUACUUGUCCGAGACUAAUUUCAUAACUUCUGGAGGCUGUGGAAGGAAGAAUUCAAGCUAGUAGUUUUUCUUUAGUUUAUCAUGAUAUUUGUGUCAGAAUCCAUAUGGAAUCAUUUUAGGACUUCGUGAAAAAUUCAGAAUAUUGGAGAUGAACAAAGGUGUGCUUUCUAAGUGGGAGGAAAAAUGAAUGUAUUUUAUAUAGAGACCUUUGUUCCUUUGGUAAAUAGAAAUAAAUUAAAAUAAAAAUAUCCCAUCCAAAAUUAAAUAAGAAGUUCAAACUCAUGUAAAGUAAAAAUGCUUGCUUUUCAAAAUUGAGACUAUCAGAGCUGGAGACUAGCUUAUAGAAUCUGUAUGCAAUCCCACUGGGGAUCCGUGCGCAGUAGUUCUGCAUGGGUGACUGUGGCAUUCUGUGUCUCAGUGUGUGAUUCGUGAACACUGUUCUUCGUCUGCUGGUGCUAGUCAUCUUCUGUCCUUUGGUUCAUUACAACAGCAGGGCUGCCCAGAUUUAGGUCUCUCCGGUUUUCUGUAUUUCCCAUAGAAUAUAGAAGUUACUAAUGUUAGCGUUAUAAAAGAAUGGUAACUUGUUCUUUGGGCUAAUUAGGGAUGGAUGUUGUUCGAUUUGAAGGCAAAAAGCUCAGAUAUUCUCACAUUUCUCUUAGAUACAACAUGGAGCACCGGUGGAAGUCUCCUGUAAGCUGGUGGGAUAGAACUGUGUCUCAUCAAAGAUGCCAUAGAGGGGUAGGACAAACUGGGACGCUCCUGCCUUUCUGCGCCUUUCGUUUUUGACUAGCUGAGAAGUUCUCCAGUCACCAUGGGAGAGUGGAUUUUAGGAAGCAAGGCUUCCAGACUGUGGGGGCUUCUUGAAGUAUGUCCUGGAUGUUUGGGGACCCCAGGGCCAUCCUCAGUGCCACAGGAUUUGUCCAAUGCACCCAGGUGACUACAUGAUUGCUGUUUUCCCAGGAAUAAAGCACUCCAUUGAAGAAGCAUACAAAAUUCAGAAGGUUUGAAAUGCUAUGGAGAAAGGGGAACAUGGAACUUGGAAAUUAGCUGGGUUGUAGCUGUUAAGACACAGCUUAAGCUCUGGGAGAUAUUUUCUUGCUUGAGGUGCCUCUAUCCUUGCUUCCAGAGGGCAGCAGAGGAGGGGACAGCUGCAUAGAAAUAUUUUCAGGGGUAUCUGUUUGACUGGCUUGGUGACAAAGAGGUAGCAUGAUGCAUUUUAAUGAUAUCUAAUUUGAUUUUUAAAAGAAAGGCAAAGGGUAUGAAAGCUAAGCAUGAAUGCCAUAGGAUUUACUGCUUGCAAUUAAUCUGGACUGUUUGGCACCAAUUAAAUCAAAGUUCUGUAAUCGUGAGAAGGUGUAUUCUACUUUAACAGUGUGGCUAACAAAGAGCUAACAUACACUCACAUGCUCACACGGACACCUCCAUUUCUGAGCAUCACUACCACUUAAACUGCAGAAAGUACUUUUAAAGUUAUUUUAGUAAUGCCACUCCCAUUGGGUUGCAGACGUGUGGAUGUGCCAUUAAAAGAGAAGUUAGAGUUGAUACCGCUAAAAAUGCCUUUUUUUUGGGAGCUGGCAGGAGACUCAGGAGCUCCCUUCCCUCACAACCAUGGCAGCCUGCCUCCUUUGCACCCUGUAGAGCAUGCCUCCACAAGGCUCUGGUUCCCAACUGCCCAAAGCAGAGGAGAGCCCCAGGUUCCACAGAACACACCCUGCCCAUUUGUCUAAUUGCCACCUCCAUGGAUCAUGCAGUCAUCCCAGAUUUGGCACCAGCUCACCCUUUUCUGCAAAGGUUGUGUUUGAGAAGAGGGUCAGCCUCUGGGAAGCUGACCAACUCCAGGAUCAGAACACUGUUGGUAGGGAGUUAGUGUGACCCUCACCCAAUCCUGACACCCAGACUGCACAGAUUUCAGAUUUAGAGCCUUUGGAGAGAAAUUUUAUAUCAACGAUGACAACCCAAAGAAAAUGUGUAACCCAGUUGACUCUUUCAAAGCUUAUUGUGUUUUAACAAAAUACUUCUCCUCAGGAGCAAAAUUAUUAUGGAGAAGAAUAUGGAGGGCAGAACAAUGGGUUUCUCAAUGGUAGAACAUUUUAUAAACCAAUCCAUUUUGAUAUGUUCAUGUACUUGUUUAAUAUUGUGUUCUAUUAUGUAACUUUUACUGGGAGAGUAGGUCUUUGAGCACCUUAAUAUUUAUUUUUACAGUUAUUGGUCUUCAGAUAGUUUUCCUUAACAUCAUAUGGUUUUAGUUUUUAUCAGCAUGGCUUUAAGUCAUUUUCUCCUGGGUUACGUUUUUGUGUACAUUGUUUCAUUGGAUAUCCCACUUCUGACGGUAAGCAUAGUACUCGCUACUCUAUGAAGUGCUCAGUACCAUAGUGAUUUGUUUUCAAGUAAGUCCCAUAUAUGCAUUUUUGGAGGCUCUGUUGGCCCACGAAUGUACCUUUCUCAUUGUAGACUCUAUUUCAAGACAACAGAGUCCAUGCUUUAAGAAUUUUCCCCCAAUUGUUCCUCUCAAAAUGCUGCUAUUUUACUGUUCAAUGGAUUGCAGUUAGUUUAAAAAUUUAUUUUAAAGGCUUUUUACAUAUGCCCAGUUCCCUUAUUUACAGGUGUUCCAUUAAGUAUAAAUGUCAGUGCUUUAGGUAAAACCGUUUUGUGCCUUUCUACUGUCAGAAUAGGAUGAACCUUGAUCAUAUUUACCUUAGAUCAUAAUGGUGCAGACUCAUAAUCCAUAUAAUAGAUAAAAAAUAUAGAAACAAACUGGUUGUAUUCAAAAACACCAAGAUCUUCCAGAAGCAUCUGUGCUUCAGUGGAGGUACAGGGAAGAAUUCAGCUGGAGUGAAUUCAGAAGCAGAUCUUAGAGAUGGGUGUGAAGAAGAGGAACAGGGUGUCCCUGGGCUCCAGCAAGAUCCAGGGAUACUCCCUCUCUUCCACUGAGAUUCAUGCCUCAGUGUCAGGUUCCAAGUGUAUGGGUGGAAGUGAGAAGUCCCUUCUUCAUCCUGAAUUACCCCAAUCUGCUGAAUGACUUUGAGAAAAUCAAACUUUGAAGCUCAGUCUGAAAACAAAAGCUUGUAAUUAUUUUUCACAAGGAUAGCAAUAGUUACUGCUAUGAAAUAGUUUCAUUUGUUCAUGAAAGAAUAGCAUGUAAAAUAACAUGAUUAAAUACAAUGAAAAGAAAUAAUUAUUGGUAAAGCAAGAAAAAUAGCUUGACAGUAUCUUUCACUAAUAUAUGGGUACAGAUUAACAGUGCCUCUGACUGAGAGGUAUUUAUGUUUUUGUAACGUUUCCUCAUUUCAAAAUGUGGACUGGUCACUGGUCCUGACGCUGGUCAGUGACACUGAAAUAAAAAGAAGGCUUUAUUAAACAUUGCCCUUUUCAUUAGGUUCAAAGUUCAGUGCCAUGGUUACGGAUGGUGAAGCCAUAAAACAUCAGGCCCAGGCAACUGUUAUGGUGGUUUUGUAAACAGAGUUUUUUUCUACACACUACGUGCAACUAGAGUGCAAUAUUAUGUAUUCUGUAUUAAAGAAAUAAAGUAUUUUUUCUCAUUUA